rnacentral:rRNA from 1 species
GUAGUCCACGCCGUAAACGAUGAAUACUAGGUGUCGGGGUCGAACCUCGGUGCCGCAGUUAACACAAUAAGUAUUCCGCCUGGGGAGUACGAUCGCAAGAUUAAAACUCAAAGGAAUUGACGGGGGCCCGCACAAGCAGCGGAGCAUGUGGUUUAAUUCGAAGCAACGCGAAGAACCUUACCUAGACUUGACAUCCCCUGCGUAACCCAGAGAUGGGCAAAGUCCUUCGGGACAGGGUGACAGGUGGUGCAUGGUUGUCGUCAGCUCGUGUCGUGAGAUGUUGGGUUAAGUCCCGCAACGAGCGCAACCUUAUCAUUAGUUGCUACCAUUAAGUUGAGCACUCUAGUGAGACUGCCCGGGUUAACCGGGAGGAAGGUGGGGAUGACGUCAAAUAUCAUGCCCCCUUAUGUCUAGGGGCUACACACNUGCUACAAUGGUGAGUACAAAGAGAUGCAAGACCGCAAGGUGGAGCCAAAUCUCAAAAACUCUCCCAGUUCGGAUUGUAGGCUGCAACUCGCCUACAUGAAGCCGGAGUUGCUAGUAAUCGCGAAUCCAGCAUGUCGCGGUGAAUACGUUCCCGGGCCUUGUACACACCGCCCGUCAC